GUAGGAGCGACCAGGAGAAGAGGAGAGGGAGCCAACCCUAGUUCUUCAAGAAUCUUCAAAUUGAAGCUCAAUUCAGGCCCUAAAUCGAUGCAUGAACACAUAAAAACGAUCACCAAGCUUAGGGGAUCAUGAGUUUAACGCUUAACGAGCUAGGUGGGAGCUUGUGGAGCAAGCGGGUCAAACGAAUCAAGAACGAAAAGAAAAGCGUGGUUUGGAUGCAAGCUAAGUAAAAGCUUACACCCUUUUAUACUAUACAUCAGUUGCGUGUAAUGAAAAUGAAUAGAGAAAAAUCCGUAAUUGAAUUUUGAUGUUCCGACGUGAAUAAUAUGGGUCGGAACAAGUGAAAGUGAUGAAAACCAUGAUGGUUGUAAAAAAAAGGGGGUAAAAUAGUAAAUUAGUCACGAGUUUUGACACGAUAUUUGACCAAAAGUUGGUUUACAACAUAAAGGAUGUUUAGUAAUUUUUAUAGAUUUUUAUAAAGUCGUUUGACGAGGUUUUCGCGGAUGUUUUGUCAAUAAAUUAGUUGUUGACAGCAACAGUUCCGCUACUUGUAGAAAUUAUUUUGAGGUCUUAACCAUCGAGUUUUGACACGAUAUAUGACCAGAAGUUGGUUUACAACAUAAAGGAUGUUUAGUAAUUUUUGUAGAUUUUUAUAAAGUCGUUUGACGAGGUUUUCGCGGAUGUUUUGUCAAUAAAUUAGUUGUUGACAGCAACAGUUCCGCUACUUGAAGAAAUUAUUUCGAGGUCUUAACCAUCGAGUUUUGACACGAUAUUUGACCAGAAGUUGGUUUACAACAUAAAGGAUGUUUAGUAAUUUUUAUAGAUUUUUAUAAAGUCGUUUGCGAGGUUUUUGCGGAUGUUUUGUCAAUAAAUCAGUUGUUGACAGCAACAGUUCCGCUACUUGCAGAAAUUAUUUCGAGGUCUUAACCAUCGAGUUUUGACACGAUAUUUGACCAAAAGUUGGUUUACAAUAUAAAGGAUGUUUAGUAAUUUUUAUAGAUUUUUAUAAAGUCGUUUGACGAGGUUUUCGCGGAUGUUUUGUCAAUGAAUCAGUUGUUGACAGCAACAGUUCCGCUACUUGCAGAAAUUAUUCAAGGUCUUAACCAUUGAGUUUUGACACGAUAUUUGACCAGAAGUCGGUUUACAACAUAAAGGAUGUUUAGUACAUUUUAUAGAUUUUUUUAAAGUUGUUCGACGAGAUUUUCGCGGAUGUUUUGUCAAUAAAUUAGUUGUUGACAGCAACAGUUCCGUUACUUGCAGAAAUUAUUUCGAUGUCUUAACUAUCGAGUUUUGACAAGAUAUUUGGCCAGAAGUUGUUCAACAACAUAAAUAAUGUUUGGUAAGUUUUAUACAUUUUAGACAUAAGCUUUUUUGGGUCAAGUGCCUAUAAACGGGUCUUUUCCGUAAAACAACCAACCGAAAUGUAGAAUCCGGGAAAAUCGGUCAAAUAUACUAAAUCCACCACGAGUAUAGUUGUGGUGGAAUGUAAUGUCACAACCCCCGAUCCCUAAACCCCGGGAACGGCGGCCGCGAGCCAGUUUUGGUGGUAUCGCAUUAUUGUCUAAUUUGGCAGCGGAAAUUUUCAUCAGGACCGUAGUUAGGAAAUAUUAAAUCAGAGUAAACCACCACAUUUUUAUUUUUAUAAUCACAUGGGUAAAACCCAAGUUUUCAUUACAAACUGAUUUACAGGGAUAAAUCCCAUUUUAUUGAAGUAAACACUUUCUUUUAUUUAGGUAACUUUUAUAGCCACUUUUCUAAGCCUUCAGUGCUCUCCAGCUGGCUUUUAUGUGCUUCAUACUAAGUUACCUGAAACACGUGUUUAAAACAUUUUAUCAGCAAGAAAUACUGGUGAGUGAAUCCCAGUUUAAUCAAGUUUAAAUAGAAAGUCACAGUGAACAGUAUUGAGGGCGAUCCCGCAAUUACAUUUGUUUCCAAGUUAUAUCAAUUAUCACUCAUGGUACUGUCGAUACCCGACUUGUGGUAAUGUUACUCCAUAUCCAGGUUUCCUAUCCAGGUUGUAACCAAUUUUGUAUACAAAACCCCAACAUACCCGUGAUAAUUGUAUUCUUACAAAUACUCAAUAACUGUUAUUUGCAUAGAAAAGUAUGCAAGGUUUUGUAAAAACAUUUAACAAAAAGUGGAUCAACUCACAUUGCUAUUUUAGGUAUUUCCUUUGUGGCUUCCUGGUUAUAAUCUAAUUGAAUAAACAAUGCACACGCGUUAGCAUAAUAACCCAUUUUAACAUUAGUAAUACCCUCCCCGAGACGGUAUUCCAACGACUACGUCGGGUAGAACCACGACAGCCGUUACGGAACCCUAGAUCAAUCGAGCAGAGUAUCUAAUACGUAUCCAGGGGUUAUGAUACUUACAACGAGGCAGAGCUUCGCUAAUUAGGGGGUAUAAUACCCGCGUAUAAUGCCCACUAUUUAAUUUUGAGAGAGAAAGAAUUGAUUUUGAACGAAGCAGACUGAAGGCUCGACGAUCCAAUUUAUAGGGCUGAUACUGGACUCUCUCGCGGCCCGCGUAAAAUAUGGACUGGGCUUACGCGGCCCGCGUUGACUCCGGUCAACUGCGUAGCUUAGCCUGGUCACCAAGUAGACUCGACACGAUAUCGACACGUGUCAGCUCAGAGUUGCGCCACCAUUUGGAACACGCGCGGCCCGCGUAAACUAACGGGGAUCUUUACGCGGCCCGCUUGAACUUAAGAAAUCAAGGGAAUCCGGUAUAACCCUCAUACGGCCCGCGUGAAUGGUUGGGGUGGGUCUACGCGGCCCGCCUCAACUUACUAUUUCUUGUUUUUAAUUUAUAUAUUGUAUUUCGGGCUUGUUUUUCACAUACAGGGUGUAUUUUAGGAAGUGUAGGGGUGUCAAGGGUGUUUUAGGAGGGUUGUUAUAUUUUGGGUAUCACUCCUGAGUUAUUUAAUAACAUAUAUAGUGCACUCACAUUAAGUAUAGUAACCCAAUUACACUUUAUCCCUACGUCACGAGACAGAACCCCAACGAAUUUAGGCAGAGCCUUGACAUACGUUACGGGGCCCUACGUCAGUCGGACAGGGCAUCAGUGGUCAAGGGUUAAAAUACUUAAAACGGGGCAUAUCAUUAUAAAGUUAAUAUU
rnacentral:lncRNA from 1 species